AGAUCAGUGAAGCAGGGCCAUUGCCUGGAGCUCACCUCCACCUCAAAAAGCUUUCUUCAAGUUUGUUGGCUGUAACAUUUGAGACAGUACCAAGUGUACCCAGGGAGCCUGCCAGUCAUUGGGUGGCUGCCAUGACAUACUCCACACCUGACACUGUGCAGGGAGGAGCCAGGCAGCCUGUGCCAGAUUUUCAGUCGGAGAACAUCUGGUUCAGCAGGCAGGGUGUCAUCUCUGCAACCAGGAGACAAGGCUCAGCUGAUUCUGAUCCUUAGCUUGCCAGAGCAGUGACACUCAGCCCCACAGGGAGUGGCAGAACCAGUUGAAGUAUGAUGCUCAGGAGACAUCUCUGCAAAAUUCUCUGCAUUGGACUGACUCUCACUAUUGUCUACAAUCUCGUCCUGGUAUUUUAUACCAAGAUGGGUUUACAAAAGUUGAUUCUGGGUGGUGUCCAAAAGGAGCCUCACUUGCCUCUGUCUGAAAGGAACAGGAUAAUGAUAAAGAGACUCUCUCAGCUGGAGUUGGAGUUGCAGCAUCUGAAAGAAAGUAUGAAAUUGUCUAAGAGGCAACAAGAAAAUGUGGACAAGGCAGUGGAAGCCAAGGCAAGCGAGACACAGAAACACAGACCCAGAGAGAAACUCUUCCCAAACUCAGCGCUUUUCAAGCAGUGGGGUGAUGAUCUCUCUGAGGCCCAGCAGAAAAGGGCUGAGAACCUCUUCCAAAAGUUUGGUUACAAUGUUUACCUCAGUAACCUGCUGCCCCUGAACCGGUCCAUCCCAGACACAAGGCAUUCCAGGUGUCUUCAGAAGACAUAUUCUUCACAACUCCCAUCCCUCAGUGUCAUUCUCAUAUUCAUGAACGAAGCUCUGUCCAUUAUUCAACGGGCCGUCACCAGUAUCAUCAACCGGACCCCUUCUCAUUUGUUAAAGGAGAUCAUCUUGGUGGACGAUUUUAGCUCAAAUGGAGAACUAAAGGCAAACUUGGAUGAGCAUAUUAAGCUUUACAACCAGAAGUAUCCAGGACUACUGAAAAUAGUACGGCAUACCAGGAGACAAGGUCUUGCUCAAGCCCGCAACACUGGCAGGGAAGUGGCCACAGCUGAAGUAGUUGCCAUCCUGGAUGCUCAUAUUGAAGUGAACGCUGGGUGGGCAGAGCCCAUCUUGACCCGGAUUCAGGAAGACCACACUGUGAUUGUGUCUCCUGUGUUUGACAACAUUCUCUUUGACACAUUUGAAUUAGAAGAGUAUUCUUUGGCAGUUGAUGGGUUUAACUGGGAACUAUGGUGCCGUUAUGAUUCACUGCCAAAGGCCUGGAUUAAUCUGCAUGAUGUCACUGCUCCAGUUAAGAGUCCUUCCAUCAUGGGCAUCCUGGCAGCCAACAGGCUCUUCCUGGGAAAGAUUGGGUCUGUGGAUGGUGGAAUGCUGGUCUAUGGAGGAGAGAAUGUGGAACUUAGCCUGAGGGUGUGGCAGUGUGGAGGGAGAAUUGAGGUCUUGCCCUGCUCCCGGAUUGCUCACCUAGAGAGACAUCACAAGCCCUAUGCCUUGGAUCUGACUUCUGCCAUGAAGCGCAAUGCUCUCAGAGUGGCUGAAAUCUGGAUGGAUGAGUACAAAUACAUGGUCUACCUGGCUUGGAAUAUACCACUCCAGAACUCUGGAAUAGAUUAUGGAAACAUUUCUUCCAGAAUGGCACUCCGGGAAAACCUGAAAUGUAAAACAUUUGAUUGGUAUCUGAAAAAUGUUUAUCCAGCCCUGAAGCCAAUCCACAACAUUGUAGCCUACGGAAGAAUAAAAAACUCACUAAAUGAAAAUGACUGCCUGGAUCGGGGCCCUAUUACAGGCAAGACCCCCAUCAUGUAUUUCUGUAAUGAAUACAGUCCACAGAAAAUCUACUACCAUCUAACUGGGGAGUUGUACGUGGGACUGAUUUCAGAGGCAGUGGCUGAAGACAACUGCCUGACAGACCCUGGCAAUGGGGAGAAUCCUACUUUGGAGCCAUGUUCCAAGGCAGCCAAAAAUGGACUACACAUAUAUUGGGAUUUUAAGUCGGGGAGAGCCAUCAUAAACAGGGCCACCAAACGAUGUCUGGAGAUAAAGAAGGUUUCCCUCUACUAUAAGCCUGUGCUGCGGACCUGCACCACACAAGUGUGGACAAUCCAGCACACUCUCGGAGACUGGGGAUCCAACUAGCAUCCAGUGAUCCUCGGAGAGCCUAGAUUUGAGACACCAAUUCUUGCCACUGAAUGGCUUCUACUCCCAAUGCUGUUCAGAGUGCCAGAGGGUGAGAGAAAGAAAAUGUGUGUGUGUGUCAAAUGUGACUUCGGCCUGUGCCACACAGGAUGGAGGAUGGGAGGGCUGUGCAUGUGUCCUGGAGGCAGAGUAAGGACACAAGAAAGCCUCCCCCAGCUUCCCUUGGAAUGAUACUGUAUAUAUCAAACACCAUUCUUGGAAACUCCUUCAUCUGGCUAGCGUGUCAGGGAGAGAGGCAGGUGGGUGGAAGAUUAUCUUUGACUUCUGCCAGCGUUGGUUGGUCUUCAUUCCUAACAACUAUGGCUGUCAUCUGCCCCUCACCUUCUCCUCAUCGGCUCGAAGACUUCGCUGCCUUGGGGCUGCCGCACUGCAGAGACCCAGUCAUCACCAGGGGCAGCAGGACACCUACUCAGGGGCCGCCCAGACUCUGAAGCCAUGUCGCUGCUCCUACUCUCUUUUCUGGGCUGUCCUGAAAGAUAUAACAAAAUAGACAAGGAAUCUUACAUAUUCCUCGUUUAUCCACUCACAGCAGUUUUAUUCGAUUACCCAGUCUCCCCAGCACAAACUAGGUUCCAGAGGCUGAGCGCAGCUCUUCAGCUCUGCACAGUGCAGAGAGAAUGGUGGAGACAUCCCAAGAAUCUGGAUCUUUCUCCAAGUAGCUCACACUAUUUAAUAGGCUUGAUUACCCUUUUCCUCCCACAAUCCUGAAAAUUAGAGAAAAUGAGGCUUGAAACGGAGAGGCAUCAUUUACUGGGACACAAAGGAAGGACUGGCUGUAGGACAAACUUGAAACCAGGACUCCUCACUGACAUCACUGGGAGAGCCCUUUCCCCCAGCUGGCGAGGUGGGAAGACA